rnacentral:rRNA from 1 species
AUUGAACGCUGGCGGCAGGCCUAACACAUGCAAGUCGAGCGGAUGAAGGGAGCUUGCUCCUGGAUUCAGCAGCGGAUGGGUGAGUAAUGCCUAGGAAUCUGCCUGGUAGUGGGGGAUAACGUCCGGAAACGGGCGCUAAUACCGCAUACGUCCUGAGGGAGAAAGUGGGGGAUCUUCGGACCUCACGCUAUCAGAUGAGCCUAGGUCGGAUUAGCUAGUUGGUGGGGUAAAGGCCUACCAAGGCGACGAUCCGUAACUGGUCUGAGAGGAUGAUCAGUCACACUGGAACUGAGACACGGUCCAGACUCCUACGGGAGGCAGCAGUGGGGAAUAUUGGACAAUGGGCGAAAGCCUGAUCCAGCCAUGCCGCGUGUGUGAAGAAGGUCUUCGGAUUGUAAAGCACUUUAAGUUGGGAGGAAGGGCAGUAAGUUAAUACCUUGCUGUUUUGACGUUACCAACAGAAUAAGCACCGGCUAACUUCGUG